rnacentral:rRNA from 1 species
AUGUCACUCUCGGAUAAAUCAACUUUGCAACAGCAAGACCUGUUGCCAUUGGCCAACCAUGGAGUGAUUGAUAGCACGGUGGCAGGAAAUGAGACGCGGGAAAGAAUGAGUCACGGAGAUGGCACUGAUCUUUUCGGUUCUCAAAGGCCAGAAACGCCCCCUUCGGAUGCAUCAGAAUACAGUCAACUCAUUUCAGCAGGGCCGUUGCUACCACUACUAGAACAGUACGCAGGCAUUGGUUCUUAUGACCAAAACACACUUAGGGGGGCACCAUGGCAAGUUCAGUCACAGGGCGCUAACACUGACAAAUGUGCGGGCAGCCAACUUCAAGUAGCUAAUGUGGCAAGUCAAGAGCCUUCGUGCAGCACAUGGCGGCAGUCGGCACCCAUGUACCUGCCAUCGACGUCGUACACAGGUUAUUACGGAGCUUCUACCCCGACAAACAUUUCAUGGCAAGCUUUACACAAUGCAGAUACAGCACAUCAAUUUGGUGUUACGGACCACACAAGAUGGGCACGUACAGCACAACAAGGGCCUAUGACUAAAGUGAACAGCGGUGCAGGGGCAUCUACUGCGGGGAGCUCUGAGCGCACGGAAGAUGCGGUCCUCCAGCCAGCCACAAGUUAUGACGCAGAUAAUCCCGAGUCAGAGUCAGAAAUGGCAAUCAUUCCUGCAAUGCCGACAAGCACCCCUUUGAAGACAAGCACUGGCAACACUCAAGCAGAUCAAACUGCCGUCGAUAUUAAAGUGAAUGAUGAAACUGACGAUGAGGCACAAGGGGAUGAAGAUGAUGGGCAAUCAGGGAUCUUGGUACCUCAGCCACCGUACGUUGGACAGAGAUUUGAAUCGUUCGAAGAAACAAAGGAAUUCUAUCAGACAUAUGCAAAGUUCCAUGGGUUUGCGGUCAACACCGAAUAUCAUAGGAAGAUUAAGAAAACAAACGAGUACAGCAGAGCUGAGAUGAUGUGUCACAAGGCACGGAGGAACAAGAAGGGGAAAGGUGUUGCGCCUGUCGUUCCAGAACGAAAGAGAGGGGUCAUUCUCAAGACGGGAUGCCCUGUCCGGUGUAAGCUAAACGUGGAUGGAACACAAUAUGUGGUCACUGACUAUUUUGACGAGCACAACCACAAACUCAUAAAAAAGUUCGACCUGGUAAAAUUUCUGAUCGCACAUAGAUAA